rnacentral:rRNA from 1 species
UACGGGGGGGGCAAGCGUUGUUCGGAAUUAUUGGGCGUAAAGAGCUCGUAGGCGGUUUGUCGCGUCUGCCGUGAAAGUCCGGGGCUCAACUCCGGAUCUGCGGUGGGUACGGGCAGACUAGAGUGAUGUAGGGGAGACUGGAAUUCCUGGUGUAGCGGUGAAAUGCGCAGAUAUCAGGAGGAACACCGGUGGCGAAGGCGGAUCUCUGGGCCUUACCUGACGCUCAGGUGCGAAAGCUAGGGGAGCGAACAGG